CUGGCAGUCAAGUCUUACCAGUUUGGAUGGAAGAAAUGAGUGUCUGACUGACAAAAUCUUAGGGAUUGGGCAGAUCUUCUCUUCCCUAGCUGGAUGGCCACAUACAAUUCUACAACUGAAAUCUGCCCAGAAAUCAUUUGUCCAGAAAAUCAUCAGCUCUAGCACCGACCGUGACUAGUUCAUUCACGGACCUCUCUCCUUCAUCUGUCAGAUACCAUCUUGUUUCAGAAGAAAUAUUUUAGAUACUUGAGAUCAACCUUCAACUUUGGUGACCUUGUUUGUCUUGGCCUUCUAAUCCUGAUCCGAGUGCAGCGUGAAGCGAUCUCAGAAACAUUGGCAGUUGUCUGGGCUAACGUGUGGAAGACACGUGAAGAAUUGCUCGACUGGAAAGAUGGAUUUCUUAGCCUGAUGGAUGGAAAGGUCAUUAUGAAGGCAUGUGGAAGAAACCAUGGCAAGAAGGGAUUAUUAAAAUAAUAUUGUGUGGGCUUCUCUGCUGUUUACUGAUUUAUUCAUACUUGUAUGGUGCUAUGUGGGCUCAGUGUCUGAAGUUGUCUUGAAAAUAG
ensembl:lncRNA